AAGAAUAAAGCUGUUUCAGCAAUUUACUUACACUAAAUAGGUUCUAUUAGAUAUUCUUA
rnacentral:tRNA from 1 species